rnacentral:rRNA from 1 species
AUUGAACGCUGGCGGCAGGCCUAACACAUGCAAGUCGAACGAGUGGCGGACGGGUGAGUAAUGUCUGGGAAACUGCCUGAUGGAGGGGGAAAACUACUGGAAACGGUAGCUAAUACCGCAUACCAUCGGAUGUGCCCAGAGGGGAUUAGCUAGUAGGUGGGGUAAAGGCUCACCUAGGCGACGAUCCCUAGCUGGUCUGAGAGGAUUACCAGCCACCCUGGAACUGAGACACGGGCCAGACUCCUACGGGAGGCAGCAGUGGGGAAUAUUGCCCAAUGGGCGCAAGCCGGAUGCAGCCAUGCCGCGUGUGUGAAGAAGGCCUUCGGGUUGUAAAGUACUUUCAGCGGGGAGGCGUUACCCGCAGAAGAAGCACCGGCUAACUCCGUGCCAGCAGCCGCGGUAAUUC